GGCGGCGGGCCGUGCCGCGCGGUGUAUAAACACGUUUUUGUGUGCCUGGCUGUAUGUCUGAGUAAAGAGCUGCCUCAACAUCGGCUGUAUCAACAGUGGGACAGUACAACAGAUCAACUGGCACCAUAACAGAAGACUUUAGCAAGCAAAUAAAACAACAGUUUUCCUCAAGCAAGCAUAGGAUGCUGUGCAGCUGCUGAACCUCUGCAAGUAGGGAGGGAAGGAGGCCUCUGAGCUGGGCUCUCUUCUGCCAUCAUGUGGAGGACGGGAGUCCUGAUGAGCCAGGAGACCGGAUCCACUAGAUGCUGGAGUGAGGGAAGGAGUAUGUUAUUUGCCGGAGAGAUCUUUGGUUGAUGGAGAAGGGCACUACUAUCUUAGAGGCUGUGGAUUGAUUCUCAUGGAUAUGUGGAGGAGGAAAAGGGUAACUACAGAAAAAGAAGCUGCUGUGCUGAAAUUGCUUCAGGCUAGCUCUUGGAAGGCUGUGAGGAAAGUUACACUGAUCAAGAUGGAAAGAAUGCCAGAAAAAACAAUAAAAGAUUGGAACAAUUGUGAAUCAUGCAAAGACAGAUCUCCUUCUCAGUCAUAGGUUUUGGGAAGACCUUACUGCUUAAAGUUUCAAAACAAAGCCUACAAAGCCGUGGAAAGAGAUGCUUAUGAAAUCAACAGGAAAUUUUAUCUGGGAAGGGGAAAAAAAAGAGGUGGGAGGAUACUGAAAAAUAAGAUGCC
rnacentral:lncRNA from 1 species